CGAAAGCCUGACGGAGCAAUGCCGCGUGGAGGUGGAAGGCCUACGGGUCGUCAACUUCUUUUCUCGGAGAAGAAACAAUGACGGUAUCUGAGGAAUAAGCAUCGGCUAACUCUGUGCCAGCAGCCGCGGUAAGACGGAGGAUGCAAGCGUUAUCCGGAAUCAUUGGGCGUAAAGCGUCCGCAGGUGGCUAAUCAAGUCCGCUGUUAAAGACAGAAGCUCAACUUCUGAUAGGCAGUGGAAACUGGUGAGCUUGAGUAUGGUAGGGGUAGAGGGAAUUCCUAGUGUAGCGGUGAAAUGCGUAGAUAUUAGGAAGAACACCAGUGGCGAAGGCGCUCUACUGGGCCAUAACUGACACUGAUGGACGAAAGCUAGGGGAGCG
rnacentral:rRNA from 1 species